rnacentral:rRNA from 1 species
AGUGAACGCUGGCGGUAGGCCUAACACAUGCAAGUCGAACGGCAGCACAGUAAGAGCUUGCUCUUACGGGUGGCGAGUGGCGGACGGGUGAGGAAUACAUCGGAAUCUACUUUUUCGUGGGGGGUAACGUAGGGAAACUUACGCUAAUACCGCAUACGACCUACGGGUGAAAGCAGGGGAUCUUCGGACCUUGCGCGAUUGAAUGAGCCGAUGUCGGAUUAGCUAGUUGGCGGGGUAAAGGCCCACCAAGGCGACGAUCCGUAGCUGGUCUGAGAGGAUGAUCAGCCACACUGGAACUGAGACACGGUCCAGACUCCUACGGGAGGCAGCAGUGGGGAAUAUUGGACAAUGGGCGCAAGCCUGAUCCAGCCACACCGCGUGGGUGAAGAAGGCCUUCGGGUUGUAAAGCCCUUUUGUUGGGAAAGAAAAGCAGCAGGUUAAUACCCCGCUGUUCUGACGGUACCCAAAGAAUAAGCACCGGCUAACUUCGUG